AUAGGAAGUGGAUAUUCGUCCGACAUUUCCAUAAUCAUUAAACUCGUUAAAUAUAAAACUGCGUAAAUUUAACUGAAAUUCAAGCGAUUCCUCCGUAGUGUUGUGGUUUAGGCACCUGUAUUGUGUGCGCCGAGUUCUGGGAUCGAUUCCUGCUCGUGCCACAAUUUUAUUAUUUUUUUUUUAUACUUUUUUUUUUCUUCGUGAUUUUCGCGUACGAAACCGUCGAAACGUAUAGCGUAUAUAAUAAUAUGUUGUUGCUUCGUUCUUAAGAAACAACGCAAGCAUUUAGUGGUUUAGUGUUAGCUUUUAAAGCGGUGUCGGAUUAAUAGCUGUGAAGCAAGAAGAUCCGGUGUCGGACGAAUAUCCACGGGGAAUAAUAUAUGUAUCCGUUCUAUUUAAUAAAUUAUAAUUGUAUAUGUGUUUGUAUAUUUUACAAACACAAGACUGCUUCUUGCCAAAAUUGAGAAAAUA